rnacentral:rRNA from 1 species
UACGAAGGGGACUAGCGUUGUUCGGAAUUAUUGGGCGUAAAGAGCUCGUAGGUGGUUUGUCGCGUUGUUCGUGAAAACUCACAGCUCAACUGUGGGCGUGCGGGCGAUACGGGCAGACUAGAGUACUGCAGGGGAGACUGGAAUUCCUGGUGUAGCGGUGGAAUGCGCAGAUAUCAGGAGGAACACCGGUGGCGAAGGCGGGUCUCUGGGCAGUAACUGACGCUGGAGGAAGCGAAAGCGUGGGGAGCGAACAGGA